AGUGAACGCUGGCGGUAGGCCUAACACAUGCAAGUCGAACGGCAGCACAGUAAGAGCUUGCUCUUACGGGUGGCGAGUGGCGGACGGGUGAGGAAUACAUCGGAAUCUACUUUUUCGUGGGGGAUAACGUAGGGAAACUUACGCUAAUACCGCAUACGACCUACGGGUGAAAGCAGGGGAUCUUCGGACCUUGCGCGAUUGAAUGAGCCGAUGUCGGAUUAGCUAGUUGGCGGGGUAAAGGCCCACCAAGGCGACGAUCCGUAGCUGGUCUGAGAGGAUGAUCAGCCACACUGGAACUGAGACACGGUCCAGACUCCUACGGGAGGCAGCAGUGGGGAAUAUUGGACAAUGGGCGCAAGCCUGAUCCAGCCAUACCGCGUGGGUAAGAAGGCCUUCGGGUUGUAAAGCCCUUUUGUUGGGAAAGAAAAGCAGCAGGUUAAUACCCCGCUGUUCUGACGGUACCCAAAGAAUAAGCACCGGCUAACUUCGUG
rnacentral:rRNA from 1 species